rnacentral:rRNA from 1 species
GCUGGCGGCGUGCCUAAUACAUGCAAGUCGAACGGUCUUUCUAUGGAAGCUUGCUCCACUGAGAAGAUAGUGGCGAACGGGUGAGUAACACGUGGGUAACCUGCCCAUAAGAGGGGGAUAACAUCCGGAAACGGGUGCUAAUACCGCAUAGUUUUCUUGAUCGCAUGAUUGAGAAAGGAAAGACGGCCUUUGUGCUGUCGCUUAUGGAUGGACCCGCGGCGUAUUAGUUAGUUGGUGAGGUAACGGCUCACCAAGACGAUGAUACGUAGCCGACCUGAGAGGGUGAUCGGCCACAUUGGGACUGAGACACGGCCCAAACUCCUACGGGAGGCAGCAGUAGGGAAUCUUCCGCAAUGGACGAAAGUCUGACGGAGCAACGCCGCGUGAGUGAAGAAAGGUUUUCGGAUCGUAAAACUCUGUUGUCAGAGAAGAACAAGUUGGAGAGUAACUGCUCCAGCCUUGACGGUAUCUGACCAGAAAGCCACGGCUAACUACGUGCCAGCAGCCGC